AGCCUGGUCCUGACUUUAUCAUCCGCCCUAGCCAAAUUUAUACAUGCAAGUCUCCGCACCCCCGUGAGAAUGCCCUCAAACUCCUGCCCGGAAACGAGGAGCAGACAUCAGGCACGCCCGCCGCAGCCCAAGACGUCUUGCUUAGCCACACCCCCAAGGGAACUCAGCAGUAAUAAACCUUAGGCAAUAAGUGUAAACUCGACCUAGUUAUGGCUAUUAGAGGGCCGGUAAAACUCGUGCCAGCCACCGCGGUCAUACGAGUGUUAGCCCAAGCAGAUGAAUAACGGCGUAAAGAGUGGUUAAGGACCUCCACAACUAAAGUUGAACGCCUGCAUGGCCGUUAUACGCAUCCGAAGGCAUGAAACCCCACCACGAAAGUGACUUUAACCAGACCUGAACCCACGAAAGCUACGGCACAAACCGGGAUUAGAUACCCCGCUAUGCUUAGUCGUAAACACCAAUAGAUAAUUACAACUUCUAUUCGCCUGGGGACUACUGGCACCAGCUUAAAACCCAAAGGACUUGGCGGUGCUUUAGACCCACCUAGAGGAGCCUGUCCUAGAACCGAUACUCCCCGUUCAACCUCACCACUUCUAGCCCAACCCGCCUAUAUACCGCCGUCGUCAGCUUACCCCGUGAGGGACAAGUAGUAAGCUAAACUGGCACAGCCCAAAACGUCAGGUCGAGGUGUAGCGCACGAAGUGUGCAAGAGAUGGGCUACAUUUUCUGACUCAGAAAACUACGGAAGAAAGUAUGAAAGUCUUUCUGAAGGAGGAUUUAGCAGUAAGUAGGUAAUAGAGUGCCCUACUGAAACUGGCCCUUAAGCGCGCACACACCGCCCGUCACUCUCCCCAAGCCCAACAUAUAUACAUCAUAUGAAGCCAAAUGGGCAAAGGGGAGGCAAGUCGUAACAUGGUAAGUGUACCGGAAGGUGCACUUGGAUAACACAGAGUGUGGCUAAAUAGUAAAGCACCUCCCUUACACCGAGAAGAUGUCCGUGCAAUUCGGACCACCCUGAUCCUAAUAAGCUAGCCCGACCGCUAAAAUGAACAACCCCCUUUAAAUUACUCAUACUGUAAAAGAAUCAACAAACCAUUUUACCUCCCUAGUACACGGGCGACAGAAAAG
rnacentral:ncRNA from 1 species